AGUUGAUCAUGGCUCAGGAUGAACGCUGGCGGCGUGCCUAAUACAUGCAAGUCGAGCGAGGUAGCUGCUACCGAGCGGCGAACGGGUGAGUAACACGUAGGUAACCUGCCUUAAGACUGGGAUACCCAGACGAAAGUUUGGCUAAUACCGGAUAACAACGGGGAUCGCAUGAUUCCCGCUUGAAAGUCGCGUUUGCGACACUUUUAGAUGGACCUGCGGCACAUUAGCUAGUUGGUGAGAUAACAGCCCACCAAGGCGAGGAUGUGUAGCCGACCUGAGAGGGUGACCGGCCACAAUGGGACUGAGACACGGCCCAUACUCCUACGGGAGGCAGCAGUAGGGAGUUUUCGGCAAUGGGCGAAAGCCUGACCGAGCAACGCCGCGUGAGUGAUGACGGUCUUUCCGGAUUGUAAAGCUCUGUUACGAGGGACGAAUUGCAGGAUUAGGAAAUGAGUUCUGCUUGACGGUACCUCGCCAGAAAGUGACGGCUAACCACGUGCCAGCAGCUGC
rnacentral:rRNA from 1 species